UACCUGACACAAUUAUUCUCAAUAUUGGUCAACUUUGCUCUUGAAAAUAGCUUAAACUGUUAAACAUUGAACGUUUAAAAAUUAGCAGAGCUUAAAUGGGAAAACUAAUCUGCAUUGCGAUUUUAGUCGCUGCAAUUUUGGCAGUGACCGUGGCAGCGCCGCAGGAUCGGCAUCAUCACUUCCACCAGGACGAACAAGUGGAAAUGCCUCACAUGGCGGCUGAGGAAAGAUUCUUUUUCAACAACUUUUUCGAAAUGAUAUUCCCCUGGAAGAGGACGACCACGGCUGCAACUACGACCACCGUUGCACCUCUGGGCGGAUAAUAUUAUUACUUACUGUACAUCAAUAAAUAAAGGAAGAGAUUUCAUGCAGUAAUUGAA